CAAAUAUAAACAUUGGUAUGGCAAAGGUAACAAAAGCACAGUUUUCAUUUUAAAAGAUACAGUGGUAGUUUCAUUGUGUGUGCCAGUCAUGUCUAGAUGCAGAUUAAGUUAGAGGGAGUGCCAUAGCUGGGAUGAGAAAUAGACAUGUAAAUUGUGGUAUUAAAUCAAGGAGUCAUGUAAGGAAAGCUUGUGUAAUGUGUUUGAUAUAAGGUACACAGUAGACAGUAAUAGUUCAGCUAAUAGGUCCCUUGCCAGAAAUGAAAGGUACAACAUAGGGUUUAGGUACUCAGUAGGGUAUAUUAGUCCCCAGCAGGGAGUCACCAC